UCCUUCGUGGUGUAGUGGUAAGCAUGCUCGACGCGUAACCGAGAGGUCCGUGGUUCAAUUCCCGGCGAAGGCG
rnacentral:tRNA from 1 species